rnacentral:rRNA from 1 species
UGAGGAAUAUUGGACAAUGGGUGGAAGCCUGAUCCAGCCAUCCCGCGUGUAGGACGACUGCCUUAUGGGUUGUAAACUACUUUUAUCUGGGGAUAAACCUACUCACGUGUGAGUAGCUGAAGGUACCAGAAGAAUAAGCACCGGCUAACUCCGUGCCAGCAGCCGCGGUAAUACGGAGGGUGCAAGCGUUAUCCGGAUUUAUUGGGUUUAAAGGGUCCGUAGGCGGAUUAAUCAGUCAGUGGUGAAAUCCCGCAGCUUAACUGUGGAACUGCCAUUGAUACUGUUAGUCUUGAGUGAUGUUGAAGUGGCUGGAAUGUGUAGUGUAGCGGUGAAAUGCUUAGAUAUUACGCAGAACACCAAUUGCGAAGGCAGGUCACUAAGUAUCAACUGACGCUGAUGGACGAAAGCGUGGGGAGCGAACAGG